rnacentral:rRNA from 1 species
GAUGAACGCUGGCGGCGUGCCUAAUACAUGCAAGUCGAGCGAACGGACGAGAAGCUUGCUUCUCUGAUGUUAGCGGCGGACGGGUGAGUAACACGUGGAUAACCUACCUAUAAGACUGGGAUAACUUCGGGAAACCGGAGCUAAUACCGGAUAAUAUUUUGAACCGCAUGGUUCAAAAGUGAAAGACGGUCUUGCCGUCACUUAUAGAUGGAUCCGCGCUGCAUUAGCUAGUUGGUAAGGUAACGGCUUACCAAGGCAACGAUGCAUAGCCGACCUGAGAGGGUGAUCGGCCACACUGGAACUGAGACACGGUCCAGACCCCUACGGGAGGCAGCAGUAGGGAAUCUUCCGCAAUGGGCGAAAGCCUGACGGAGCAACGCCGCGUGAGUGAUGAAGGUCCUCGGAUCGUAAAACUCUGUUAUUAGGGAAGAACAUAUGUGUAAGUAACUGUGCACAUCUUGACGGUACCUAAUCAGAAAGCCACGGCUAACUACGUG